AUUGAACGCUGGCGGCAGGCCUAACACAUGCAAGUCGAGCGGAUGAAGGGAGCUUGCUCCUGGAUUCAGCGGCGGACGGGUGAGUAAUGCCUAGGAAUCUGCCUGGUAGUGGGGGAUAACGUCCAGAGACGGGCGCUAAUACCGCAUACGUCCUGAGGGAGAAAGUGGGGGAUCUUCGGACCUCACGCUAUCAGAUGAGCCUAGGUCGGAUUAGCUAGUUGGUGGGGUAAAGGCCUACCAAGGCGACGAUCCGUAACUGGUCUGAGAGGAUGAUCAGUCACACUGGAACUGAGACACGGUCCAGACUCCUACGGGAGGCAGCAGUGGGGAAUAUUGGACAAUGGGCGAAAGCCUGAUCCAGCCAUGCCGCGUGUGUGAAGAAGGUCUUCGGAUUGUAAAGCACUUUAAGUUGGGAGGAAGGGCAGUAAGUUAAUACCUUGCUGUUUUGACGUUACCAACAGAAUAAGCACCGGCUAACUUCGUG
rnacentral:rRNA from 1 species